GUCCAGCGUGUAAUCCACGGCGAAAGGCCCUGUACAGCGCUAUUUCUCCUGCCAUGGAGGUGGUAAAGAGCCUGGCAGCCCUGCUGAAGGAUUCACCAGCUUCUCUCAUUGAGAAGGAGGAGGAUCAUGUCCAGCCAGCCUUCCCUGUGAUGCAAGUCAGGGGAGGGGCCUCAAGUUCACCACUCACAGUGGUGCUGGAGGACUGCUCCUUCGAGGUAACGGACAUUGUGGCCGGUAUUGCGCUCAUUCUUGCGCUAUACUGGGUCCAUGACAUUUCCUGCUGUCCAAAAGCAUC
rnacentral:lncRNA from 1 species